AUUAGGAAUCUUGCGCAAUGGGCGAAAGCCUGACGCAGCGACGCCGCGUGACUGAUGAAGUCUUUCGGGAUGUAAAGGUCUUUUAUGGGGGACGAAGGAUGUGACGGUACCCCAGGAAUAAGCCCCGGCUAACUACGUGCCAGCAGCCGCGGUAAUACGUAGGGGGCGAGCGUUGUCCGAAUUCACUGGGCGUAAAGCGCGCGUAGGCGGGUUUUUAAGUUGUGGGUGAAAUCCCGGAGCUCAACUCCGGAACUGCCUGCAAAACUGGGAGCCUUGAGGUAUGGAGAGGGAAGUGGAAUUCCUGGUGUAGCGGUGAAAUGCGUAGAUAUCAGGAGGAACACCCGUGGCGAAGGCGGCUUCCUGGCCAUAUCCUGACGCUGAGGUGCGAAAGCUAGGGUAGCGAACGGGAUUAGAUACCCCGGUAGUCC
rnacentral:rRNA from 1 species